rnacentral:rRNA from 1 species
GACGAACGCUGGCGGCGUGCCUAAUACAUGCAAGUCGAGCGGACUUUCAAGAAGCUUGCUUUUUGAAAGUUAGCGGCGGACGGGUGAGUAACACGUGGGCAACCUGCCUGCAAGACGGGGAUAACUCCGGGAAACCGGGGCUAAUACCGGAUAAUAUCUUCCUUCGCAUGAAGGAAGGUUGAAAGGCGGCGCAAGCUGCCGCUUGCAGAUGGGCCCGCGGCGCAUUAGCUAGUUGGUGAGGUAACGGCUCACCAAGGCGACGAUGCGUAGCCGACCUGAGAGGGUGAUCGGCCACACUGGGACUGAGACACGGCCCAGACCCCUACGGGAGGCAGCAGUAGGGAAUCUUCCGAAAUGGACGAAAGUCUGACGGAGCAACGCCGCGUGAGCGAAGAAGGUCUUCGGAUCGUAAAGCUCUGUUGUCAGGGAAGAACAAGUACCGUUCGAACAGGGCGGUACCUUGACGGUACCUGGACAGAAAGCCACGGCUAACUACGUG